rnacentral:rRNA from 1 species
GACAGAGGGUGCAAACGUUGUUCGGAAUUACUGGGCGUAAAGCGCGUGUAGGCUGCUCUGCAAGUCGGAUGUGAAAGCCCUGGGCUCAACCUAGGAAGUGCAUUCGAAACUGCAGAGCUGGAGUCCUGGAGAGGAAGGCGGAAUUCUCGGUGUAGAGGUGAAAUUCGUAGAUAUCGAGAGGAACACCGGUGGCGAAGGCGGCCUUCUGGACAGUGACUGACGCUGAGACGCGAAAGCGUGGGGAGCAAACAGG